CGCUUCGAGCCACCGCGUCUCCGCUCCCAAGAAAUGCCUUCCGAAAGCCCUCCGCGGACCGGGGACUGAAGCCGACGCUAAUCGCUGUGCCCGCGCUUUCGGGCAACAGGCUGCCGCUCCUGGGCUCAGCCUUGCCGUCCAGGCCUCAGGGAUGAGGUCCGUGAGGCAUAAGCAACAGCUCGCAAUCAAGGACCACCCUAUCCAUGAUUCAGCUUUCAAAUGUCAUCCUUCUUAAUUUGCACACCGGUCACUUUGCUUCUAUUUACAAAUGAACUAAGAAGGUUCUCCCUCCCCCCCAAGAAAAGAACAUAUUAACUGCUGCAGAAGAUCGUUGCUGCCUCUUGCUGCUAGAAAACUCAUUCUUCCAUACCAAGCAUCUCAAAAUGUGAAAAAGCAUCAAAAAGUGAAAGCAUCUCUGGGGCCAUCCUCAGCACGUGGUUCUUUCUCAUUAAAUAAUUCUCACAGCAAUCUUACUUCCUCACAACUUGUUAUACCUUAAAAUACUGGCAUCUUAAACCUGUGCAUUUAGUUCUCCAGAUUAAAAAAGGUUUUGGCAUUAUGAUGCACAACUGUCAGUCUUUAAGUAUACCGUCACUACAUACUAUGAUCUAAAACCCUACCAAAAACACUUCCAGAGUCCUUAAAUCAAGAGCCAAGGCAGUUAUCUCAGCCAAGUUUGAAAAAUCAGUGCACUUUACAUACACAAGCACCCAAGUGAAGUGACCCAGUUAUCCCCUGUCACUGUGACUGACAAAAUCCAAGGCCAUCAGCUGAACCCACCUUGUACCAACUGUCUGUUGCCAUCCUGGACCAAAAGCACAGAAGCAUUGCAGCACGCCCCCAGUCCCUCUGUGUGAGACCUGCACCCUACCCUGCUCCUGGC